GCCAGGUGUGGUGGCAAAGACCUGUAAUCCCAGUUACUCAGGAGACAGAGGCAGGAGGAUUGCAAGUUUGAGGCCAGCCUCAGCAAUUUAGUGAGACCCUGCCUCAA
rnacentral:sRNA from 1 species